rnacentral:tRNA from 1 species
UAGCUCAGUGGUAGAGCACAACCUUGCCAAGGUUGGGGUCGCGAGUUCGAAUCUCGU